rnacentral:lncRNA from 10 species
GGACUACAGGCAUGUGCCACCAUGCUCGGCAAAUUUUAUUUUAUUUUUUUUUUUAAAUUUUUUAGUAGAGACGGGGGUUUCACCAUGUUGGCCAGGCUGGUCUCGAACUCCUGACAAGUAGUCUACCUGCCUCAGCCUCCCAAAGUGCUGGGAUUACAGGUGUGAGCCACUGCACCUGGCCCCUUCUCCUUUUCUUCAUGAAAACUGUGGCUACUCUCUCUCGCUUUUCCCCAUUUUUCUUACCCCUCACCUCCUUCCUGCUGCUAGGCACAGUAACUGGGGGGCCCUGAGUCAGUGCUGUCUGAGCCGGCCUCCUUGGAUCCGGAAGGGCAUGGAUUCUUGGGGAAGCCACAGAACAAAGCUCCUGCCUGCCCACCCAUCACUUUUCCCUUGAUGAUGGGCUUCCUGCUUCACCAGGCAAUCUGGCCCCGCAGGCGCAGGCUGUCUCUUGGCUUCUUCCCUUCAAACCCCCUCCAAACCCCCAAUGUCUGGAACCUUUGAUGUCCAAGAUCAUUGAGUGUAUGUAGGUAGGGAUGGGUGGUGGUUGCCAAACAUGUCCCUUGCUUUCCAGUUGACCUCUGCAAACAAUAAUUCUUUUU